CAGAAACACCAUCAGGACCAUCUUCUUCUUCCUUCACCGUGGAUCUCCAUCAACGUCAUUGCCUCACCUUCUCAGACCAUCACCAUGGCGGCCCAACAGCCUGCGAGAACACACCUAAAGAGAAACUCAGACCGUCAUCUUCUUCCUAAGCCGCUACUACAGCGCCACCGCUAGCACCAUGUUGUCGUGCCAUCAAUAGUGGUCAUCGUCGC
rnacentral:lncRNA from 1 species